rnacentral:rRNA from 1 species
CGCUCUACACCCUUUGUGACAUACCUACAACUGUUGCUUCGGCGGGUAGGGUCUCCGCGACCCUCCCGGCCUCCCGCCUCCGGGCGGGUCGGCGCCCGCCGGAGGAUAACCAAACUCUGAUUUAACGACGUUUCUUCUGAGUGGUACAAGCAAAUAAUCAAAACUUUUAACAACGGAUCUCUUGGUUCUGGCAUCGAUGAAGAACGCAGCGAAAUGCGAUAAGUAAUGUGAAUUGCAGAAUUCAGUGAAUCAUCGAAUCUUUGAACGCACAUUGCGCCCGCCAGCAUUCUGGCGGGCAUGCCUGUUCGAGCGUCAUUUCAACCCUCAAGCUCUGCUUGGUGUUGGGGCCCUACAGCCGAUGUAGGCCCUCAAAGGUAGUGGCGGACCCUCCCGGAGCCUCCUUUGCGUAGUAACUUUACGUCUCGCACUGGGAUCCGGAGGGACUCUUGCCGUAAAACCCCCCAAUUUUCCAAAGGUUGACCUCGGAUCAGGUAGGAAUACCCGCUGAACUUAAGCAUAUCAAUAAGCGGAGGAA